rnacentral:rRNA from 1 species
UACGUAGGUGGCAAGCGUUGUCCGGAUUUACUGGGCGUAAAGAGCGCGCAGGCGGUCGUUCAAGUCGAGUGUGAAAGCCCCCGGCUCAACUGGGGAGGGUCAUUCGAUACUGAUCGACUCGAAGGCAGGAGAGGGUAGUGGAAUUCCCGGUGUAGCAGUGAAAUGCGUAGAGAUCGGGAGGAACAUCAGUUGCGAAGGCGGCUCUCUGGACCAGUACUGACGCUGAGGCACGAAAGCGUGGGGAGCAAACAGG